CUUCUAUUUGCAUUUUUUUAGAUAUGCAGGAAAGCAACCUAUGUAAUUUUAUAUUAUUUUUGUGCUAAUAUUUGUAGUUUUUUUAUAAGGAAUAUUCUUGCGGGUAAGAUUUUAAGUACAUGGAUUGUAUAUCUACUCCACCAGCAAUUGAUGGCCCCCUCCACCGCCGACUCGUCCACGGUCUCCCAACCUCGCUUAACUGUGCUGGCUAAGGGUGAUUGUGUGAAACAGACACUCUUGAAAAAUCUUUCCAGAUGUGAUGGUAUGCAAAAUUGACGCUCUUGAAAAAUCCUUCCUAGGAACGUACCCUCCCCUUCAUGGUCUACAAGACAUGCCUCGAUCGGGUGUAGGGGCGGAGCUGGCCCUUCUUACCAGGGUCAGCUGACCCGAUGGAGUUCUAAAUUCCUUAACUAAAAUCACUGUUCAUCACUAAUUUAAGUAUGUUCGACCCCGUCAUUUAAAAUAGCUGACCCCAGUGGCCUUUCAGUCUGGCUUCGCCCCUGAUCGGGUGGGAUGCGGUGGCAGCUGAUGGUGUUGCAAUGCUAGCGAUGCAGUGGUGCAGGUGGGGGAUCACACGAUGGAGGUGCAGCAGACGGGACAGGCCGCGCGACAAGGUGUGUAGCAAGCAGGACCGCCUGAUACUGGACGAGAUCAACAAGAUUGCUUCAAUAGCACUGAGCCUGAAUGUUCCUGGGCAAAUUUUUAUGAUCUUGAAGAAAGUCCAUCCCCGAGUCUUUGCGAGCACGCAUGAUGUUGAGCUUCAAGAAUUUCAAUGACUCAUUCAUGGAGCAAUAUGAGGGCUACUCUAGAAUGUAAAAAGGAACACACAACAUAGAAGACCCGGCUGUCAGAUUCUCCAUUUCAGUAUCAAUGCUAUCGAGCAUUUCCAAGGACAUUAAUUGAAAAUUACUUGUAGCUCGUUUAAAUGACACGACACGACUCGGCUGCCAAGUUUUGUGUCUCAAGUGAGGCGCCUGUGCUUCCCGAUCGGUAUUCGUACAUUUAUCGAUGAGAAAAUCCGGGCUAGCUAGCAAGCAAAAGAUGGCUGUCUGGGCAUGGGUAACCUGUCGAUAAACAUAAGUCUAUAACAUGGCAAUACGAGUGUAUAUCAUGCAUAUUGCCUUGGAAUGUUAAGUCCUCUGAUCGCUUGGUAUAUAUCGUGCUACAAAA